rfam:Lupinus angustifolius cultivar Tanjil contig_31076, whole genome shotgun sequence.
AGGUGCGAUCAUACCAGCACUAAUGCACCGGAUCCCAUCAGAACUCCGCAGGUAAGUCCUCGUGUUGCACCUC